rnacentral:rRNA from 1 species
AAUAAAACAUCGCAGGGUAUUCGAUGGAUCCCUAGGCAUUGGUGGAGAGAAAGGACGUAGGAUAACACGAAAGGCCACGGGUAGAAAUAAAACUGUGAUCCGUGGGUAUCCGAGGGGGAAACCCACCCAUUAGGGGUGGCGGGGGCUUUAGGGGCUUCCGCAGCGUACCCGGUGAACUGAAACAUCUAAGUAACCGGAGGAAAGGAAAUCAAUCGAGACUCCGUUAGUAGUGGCGAGCGAAUGCGGAUUAAGCCAAGUAGUUUAAUUAUUUCACCGGAAAAAACUUGAAUGUUUUACCGAAGAGGGUGGCAGUCCCGUACGGGAAGAAAUAUGCAAGUGAAUAAGUAGGACGGGACAUGUGAAAUCUUGUUUGAAGAUAAUGGUAAAAUGGGGGAACCACCCCCCAAGGCUAAGUACAACCAAUGACCGAUAGUGAACAAGUACCGUGAGGGAAAGGGUGAAAAGAAUCAUGAAAAUUGAGAGUGAAAUAGACUUGAAAUCGAAUAUCUACAAUCAGUCGAAGCUUCAUUAAAAAGCGACGGCGUACCUUUUGCAUAAUGGGCCAGCAAAUUAAUUCAGGGGGCAAGCUUAACCCGUUGGGGGUGAGGCGCAGCAAAGGCGAGUCCGAAUAGGGCGCACACAGUCCUCUGGAUUAGACCCGAAACUGGGUGAUCUAGCCAUGGCCAGGUUGAAGAUAUGAUAAUACAUAUCGGAGGACCGAACCCACGUAUGUUGCAAAAUACCGGGAUGAGCUGUGGCUAGGGGUGAAAGGCCAAUCAAACCCAGAGAUAGCUGGAUUUCCGCGAAAUCUAUUUAAGUAGAGCGCUGUGUAUUCUAUGGAAGGGGUAGAGCACUUGAUGAACUAGGGUGGCCCAAAGCUUUACCGACUUCAACUAAACUCCGAAUACUUACCAUUAGUAGCACAGCAGACAGACUAUGGGUGCUAAGAUCCAUGGUCGAGAGGGGAAGAGCCCAGACCACCAGUUAAGGCCCCAAAAGUAUGGCUAAGUGGGAAAGGAAGUGGGGAAGCCAAGAGAGCCGGGAGGUGGGCUUAGAAGCAGCCAUCCUUUAAAGAAAGCGUAAUAGCUCACCGGUCGAGAUUUCAAUUGAAAUUAAAGCUUUUCUGCGCCUAAAAUGUAACGGGGCUUAAGCCAUAUGCCGAAACUGUGGAUCUCUCGAUUACCCCAUUGGGUAUAAAAGGGGAGAUGGUAGCGGAACGUUCUGUAGGCCGUGGAAGAAAAAUCGAAAGAUUUUUUGGAGGUAUCAGAAGUGAGAAUGCUGGCAUGAGUAGCGAUAAACAAUGUGAAAAACAUUGUCGCCGUAAGUUCAAGGGUUACUGCACAAGGUUAAUCCAUGCAGUGUUAGCCGGCCCCUAAGGCGAAGGCGAAAGCCUAAGCUGAUGGGAAGUGGAGUUUAAUAGUUCCACGCCAAUUGGUGAUGACGGAGUGGUUGAAUGAAAUGGGCUCAAUUGGAUUGGCCAUUUUCUGAGGCCCCUUCCGGGAAAUAGGACCAAUAUUAAUGACCGUACCCUAAACCGACACAGGUGAACUGGUGUAGCACACUAAGGCGCUUGGGAGAACCAUAUUGAAGGAACUCGGCAAAAUGACCCCGUAACUUCGGAAUAAGGGGGGCCUUCUGAGGCAUAACUGAAAAUAGGGGGAAGCGACUGUUUAUUAAAAACACAGGACUCUGCAAAAUUGUAAAAUGACGUAUAGGGUCUGAUGCCUGCCCGGUGCUGGAAGGUAAAAGGGAGAGGUGCAAGCUUCGAACAUAACCCCCAGUAAACGGCGGCCGUAACUCUGACGGUCCUAAGGUAGCGAAAUUCCUUGUCGGGUAAGUUCCGACCUGCACGAAUGGCAUAACGAUUUCCCCGCUGUCUCCAAUGUGGACCCAGCGAAAUUGAAUUCUCCGUGAAGAUGCGGAGUACCUGCGGCUAGACGGAAAGACCCCGUGCACCUUUACUGCAACUUUACAUUGUAGCCGGGAGUGGAUUGUGUAGAAUAGGUGGGAAACCUAGGAUGCUUUGGCGCCAGCCAAUUGCGGAGGUACCUUUGAAAUACCACCCUCUUCUAUCCCUCUCUACUAAUUUACUUCUUUUGAAGGAAGACCGUGUAUGGGUGGUAGUUUGACUGGGGCGGUCGCCUCCCAAAGAGUAACGGAGGCGUACAAUGGUGGGCUCAAGCUGGUCAGUACUCAGCUGUGGAGCGCAAUGGCAUAAGCCCGCCUGACUGUGAGAUCGACAAAUCGAGCAGGGACGAAAGUCGGCCAUAGUGAUCCGGUGAUUCCGUGUGGAAGGGUCAUCGCUCAACGGAUAAAAGGUACGCCGGGGAUAACAGGCUAAUGACCCCCAAGAGUUCAUAUCGACGGGGUUGUUUGGCACCUCGAUGUCGGCUCAUCAUAUCCUGGAGCUGAAGUAGGUUCCAAGGGUUCGGCUGUUCGCCGAUUAAAAUGGUACGUGAGCUGGGUUUAGAACGUUGUGAAACAGUUCGGUCCCUAUCUACCGCAGGUGUUUGAGAAUUGAGGGUUUUUUAUCUUAGUACGAGAGGACUGGAUAGAACAUACCACUGGUGUACCGGUUGUCGCGCCAGCGGCACCGCCGGGUAGCUACGUAUGGAAAAAAUAACCACUGAAGUCAUCUAAGUGGGAAGUUUAACCCAAAAUAAGUUCUUGGGGGGCAGUACAAGAUUAGUACGUUGAUAGGCUCCAGGUUAAAGAUGUGUAAACAUUUUAGCUGAGGAGUACUAAUUGCCCUUCGUUUUAUUUUUA